GCCUGGCUGGCUUAGUUGGUGAAGCAUGUGACUCUGGAUCUCAGGGCCCUGACUUCGAGCCCCAGGUUGGGCA
rnacentral:tRNA from 1 species